GGAGCUUUCAUAGCAUAGUUCCCAUCUGGCUCCAGCUGAGACAGACUUCAUCAUGCUUAUAAUUAUAGGACUCAAGCCUGCUGCUGCAAAGUGGGGGUUGAUGCAUGGGUCUGUGUUCCCAGAGAGGAGGAGCAAUUAUGACAGAGAGGCCAGUGCUUCCCAGAGCUCAAUCCCUGAGCUCAGGAUCUACCCCUGACAGGGAUGGCCUGUGUGGUCAAAGACAUGAGAAGCUGUGUUAAAAGAAGAGAAGUAAGUGCUGAUCUAGAAGUGUAUGUUCCUGGGGCCUCGAAGAUUUCAGGCCAUUUAAUUUUGGCUGAUUUGGGAAGGGAUGGGUCACUGUCCUGAACUGUGACAAUGGCCUCCAAGGCUUCAGGAUACAAGGAGGUGCAUUUGUAGGAGCAACACCAGCCGCCAUAUUGAGCUGCCUUCUGAGAAGCACUUUCUGUGUCUCAGCCCUUCCAUCAGUCUGGAAAAGAGGGAGGAAAGAGAGAUCAUUUGCUCCCGGUCUGUAGAGAACACAGGAUCACAGGGUGUCCAUGACAGCAGAGACUAGACAUGGCACCCUGCAUGGUACCCAGGAGGAAGGGAGGUAGCUUAGGUAGACACACCCCAAAGCCACAUGCUCGGCAGGGCUUCGGUCUUGUCAGUCAGUCACCCUGAACCCGAGUUCCUGCUUUUUGGACUGACUUUUCCAAAUACUAGGGUCCUCUCAAUGCCAAACAAGGACUUGCUGUAAGUUGUCUCUGUUAUGCUUGCAGACAGGAGUCUAUCAUGUCCUCUGAGAGGCUCCAACAGCUGUGGAUCAGACAGAUGCAAACAUCCACAACCAAACAGUGGAUGGAGCUUGGGGACUCUUACAGAAGAAUAGGAGGAAGGAUUGCAGCCCCUAAGGGGAUCAGAACUCCACAGGAAGACCACCAGCAUCAACUAACCUGGACCCUUGGGGCUCUCAGGGUCUGAACCACAAACCAAAAAACAUACACAGGCUGGCCCUAGGCCUCCCUGCACAUAUAUAGCAGAUGUGUAGCUUGGUCUUCAUGUGGUUCCUGAGUGAUAGUGAUAGGGGCUAUUCUAAAAGCUGUUGCCUGUAUGCAGGGUAUGUUCUUCUAGCUAGGCUGCCUUCUCAGGCCUCAGUGGGAAAGGAAGUACGAAGUCUUAUAGAGACUUGAAAUUUGAGGGAUGAGGACUACCCUGGAGGACCCCCACCCAUUCAGAGAAAAAGGACAUGGGAUGGCAUCAGGCCUCUUCACAGGCCCUGUUGCCCUGCCCCAAGUGUGAUCUCCACAUCCUGGAUGGAAGAUUUUGAGCUUAUGAUGUUAAAAAGGUCACAGAGUAGACUGACUGGCUCUCUCUGCAUGUCUGUUCUUGGCAAAGUGGUCCCAAGCCAUUCUUGAAAGACAACCAGUAUACCUUGUGAUUGCAUGAGAGUGUGUCUGAGUCUGUCAAGGCCCUGGGGUUUCAUUUCCCUCAGAGGAGAGAUGCUACCUCCAUGAAAGACUGGUGAGAAUGGAGGGAAGAACAUGUCUGCACAAGACCAGUGGUGGGGAAUGGAAUGGUGGAGAACAUCAGGAGAAUCAAGUCUGGGAACUCAGGGCUGGCAGCAGGACAGGCCUCAUGCCCCAAGGGUAAUAUGUGACCCAAGCUUAGCCUGCAAAGUAGCUGAACAUGCUGGCUCCCCCUCGCUGCCCUGCCUCCCCUCCUCAAAGCUAGGCAGAACAUCUGGCCUCUUGCUAACCCUCAACAGUUUGGCAAGGACUGUUAGGAACCUGGCUGGGCAGAACCAAAGGUUGGAAUGAGCCAAAGCAGGCCUUACUACCUUACAGAGGACCUGGAGCUUAUAGCUUAGAGAGUGACUACCCCAUCCUAAACAUUGGCUCCUGAAGCCUCUGCAGGGUUCUCUGAGGUUCUGGGUCUGCAGAAGUCGGGGAGCCAUCUAGGAGGAUGUACAGAGAAACACAGAUCUCAGCUCUCUGGCAGAAAAAGAUAAGAAAAAUGUAAAUAGUUGGCGGUCUGACUAAGAAAAUCUCUGCUGGAGUUGUUGUCUUGGCUCAUUGACAUUGAGAGUGACACGGGUCCUACUAAUCAUGCUUACUGAGGUCCUACUAAUCAUGCUUACUGAGGUCCUACUAAUCAUGCUUACUGAGGUCCUACUAAUCAUGCUUACUGAGGUCCUACUAAUCAUGCUUACUGAGGUCCUACUAAUCAUGCUUACUGAGGUCCUACUAAUCAUGCUUACUGGGGUCCUACUAAUCAUGCUUCUCCUGCUUUUGUUUUCUUCUGGGGAAUGAGGCCUGUGUUCACUCUGCUCUUUCUAAGCUGUGGAGAGAAAGGGAGAAAAAGGCUUGCAGACCCAACCUCCAAUACCACAGAAGUCUUUGGUCCCAGUCAAAGCUCUUUGGAGGGCGCCAUGGCGGCCACCUACUUUGCUCUGAACAGGACCCCACAGGCACCGAGGCUAGAGCCUGUGCUCUCAUCUAGCUUGGCCCAACGCAGAGGCAUGAAGAGACUCACGUCUACCAGGUUGUAGUGGCCAGCCAAGUCUCCAGCCUCAGUCGCCCUGCCCAACGUCCUCUCAGCCUCACAGACGCCAGACACAGGUCCUGUUCAUGGGCACUUGAGUGCCCAUGAGUCCAGCACAAAGAUGGAUCUGGCCUUGGCUAUCUCUCUGUUUCCUUUGCAGCCCUAGAAAGGGUCCUGCCCAGGAUGUCUGAGCCUUGCUGCGCCGACCUCUCCGCCCGCUCUCUCUCUCCUCCUGAGUGAAACCAAAUGAAUCUGUCACCUCAUAGCACCCUGCUGGGGCCUCCCUGGGCUCACUCAGGGCUCUCAGUGUCUCCAUGUCAUGGCUUAUGCCCAAAGCAGAGCUCUUUUACCAUCCUGAUGUCACCUACGUGUCCCACUGUCUCUCUGAGAGUGUUAGUGCACAGUCCCUGCCUGGAGACAGCAGAGCCACUUUCGAAGAGCUGGAUGUUUCUGGAUGUUCUGGCAAUGCCAGUGGCCCUGUGAAAGCAUCCAGCUUAGAUGCCUGACUCUGUCCACAAUCACCCAAAGAGUGCCUCUCACCACCCUCCUGCUCUCAAGCAAGAUGCUGGGUAGCUUCUCCCUGACUCUGUCACUGACUUGGCAGGAUGAAAGCAACCAACCCAAGAGUCUAGAUGGGUAGAGUCUAUUUGAGAGCGUGAUUUCUGUUGGUUGAGACAGGAGCCCCAGGAAAUUGCCGGGCAGAGCCAGUACCCACUACACUGCUGCCCCCUUAACCCUGUGGCCCCAGGGACACUGGAGAGAGUGGGGCUCUGCCAUUGCUGGGUGUGUUGGCAUCUCUGCUCAUAUUUGCCUGCUGUGGUAUAGCAUAUUCACUCUCUCUCUGCUUUCCUGGGCCACAGAGAAUGUCUUCUCCUCUACCCCUCUAUCCCUUCUUGACUGAGGACAGGAGAGACACCUGAGCCCCUUGCCUUAGACAGGCAGAAGGUGCCUGGACAAGUUGUCAGUGGGAGUGAUGCUCUUCUUAGAAGCUGUGGUCCUAUGUUGCAUCUUGUGUUUCUGUUGUCUAACCUGUUUUCAGGCUGUAGUCUGCGCAGGGAGCAGUAGUUACACGGACCAGGCUAUCUGUGGCAUACUCUUCAUGCAGAGUAACCGAGUGAGACCCUUCCCCCGUGGCGUGCUCCACUCCUCCUGGUCGGAGAGGAGGGACUUGUGUGUCCUGAAGUCUCUCUGGAGGCUGCUGAGGAUAGUGGACUCAGGUCAGAAGACACUCCACUGUGGCUCAGAACCUGCCAGUCUGAGAAGCAGCCCCUCUGCCCAGUAGAGGCACCUGUAGGAGGCGCCUGUUGGCCACAGCAGGCUUACACUAGGAAGACCACAGGUGGACCACGGCUGCUUCUGCAAUGCCUGCCCCAGUGGAAUGUUCAGAACAUAAUUCCUUUGCUCAGUCUAAUUAUUUCAGACCUCAAAACGUAAACGUAUUUCUGAAGCUUUAAUUACUCCACUGGACUCUGUUCUGUUUGAGAAUUAUAAAAUACAGAGUGGGGAUAGACUGUGUGCCAUUUCCAGUGUCCCUGGGGAUGGUCUCCUGCUUUCUCAGUGAAUGCUCUGCCCAAGGCUGAGAUCAUCUCCCAGUUAAUGUUCUGGGCCUGAAUCCUUCCGAUUCUUGAUAGAAAUCCAGAGGGAAAGUAUAGUGGGUAGUCUUAGUGACAGAUUCUGUCCUCUGGGAAAUGAACAGGAGCUCUGGCACCCUCCGAGGGCCUCUCUGGCAUGCACCCUUGCUCCAGCUGCUCACGGCUCAGGCUGGGUUUGCUUGCAGCUUCAAGUGUACAUGUUCUAAUGAAAAGAAAGAACAACAGAACACAGAAGGCAUGGCUGAGGAGGCGAGCAUAACCUGUCCCCUUCAUGGUCAUGUGGCCGCAUCACCUCUUUCAGUAAUGUGAGGUUACCUGCUUUACACUCAGCCUACUCUCGCCAAAGGGAUGGAGGAGACCAUCAGUCAAACCAAACGCAUCCUCUGGAUGUGUCUGGAAGGAUGCUCAGCCUUGCCCUGCAGAGAGUGGAGUACCCCACAUUCCCACCUCACCCAGUACUUGAUACUUGAAAUCUCUUGUGGAGUCAGUCAGAGGAGCACGUGACAGGAUCGUUUUAAUCCCUGUUCUUUAAAGUCUUCAGUGCCACAGCAGUCUGCUGUGGCAUGUAACCCCGUGUCCCCGGUGUUUACCUGGCCUGUGACCCUUUACCCAACACGAGGAAAGGCUCUGUAUUCUCUACACAAAUGACUACUUGUGUAGCUACAGAAUUUGUCAUGGGAAAGCCCAGCCUACAUCCUGGAACUCCUUUACCCAUCCCCAGAGCUACUUUUGGGCUAUCCCACUGCAGCUCCUGCCCUGUUUGGGCUGAGAACAUGAUGAGCGCUCCACUGAAGGAGGUGGGGAUGGGGUGCUUGUCAGAUUCUGUACCCCAGAGUCAAUGGCAGGCAAGCCGUGAACGUCCCCUGUCCUAUGGUUGGAACGUGUGUGAUUUUGAACUACCUGUGUGCACUGGUCUUUGGAUAUUGUUUGGCUUUUUAAGUGAGGAUCGUCCUGAUGGUAUCUAAUGUCAGCAGUAUUCCUGAUUAAAUGGUGUUCUUCCUUAAGAUGCCCGUUGGGAUUUCCCCUGCAUUGUACCGCUUCUCUCAAGCAUAGGAGGAGAUACACCGUGACUCUUCAUUCUCUCUGGCACAUUUUGCUGCCCUUCACCACCCGCAAGACUGUGAGACACCUGGAGUGGGAAAGGUCUCUGGGGUCCCUCUGUGGCAGGGACAGGUGGAAGGGGAAGCCAGCAUGGCUCGUCUGUGCAGGUGAAAGGCACCACCCCACUCCCAGCCUGCGCUGCGUUUACAUGAUCAGCAGUUCCGUUUACAGCUCACUCCAUGUUCACACUUUCUGGCUGUGUGUUGAGACGGCGGCCACUGUACAGAUAUUUAUUAUGCUUUCCAAACUUUC
rnacentral:lncRNA from 1 species